GCAGCGGCUCGACAUCGAGACAGUUGUUAAACCUUCGGGGCCUAUAGAUGAGCCUGCGUCUGAUUAGCUAGUUGGCGGGGUAACAGCCCACCAAGGCAACGAUCAGUAGCUGGUCUGAGAGGAUGAUCAGCCACACUGGAACUGAGAUACGGUCCAGACUCCUACGGGAGGCAGCAGUAAGGAAUAUUGCUCAAUGGCCGAAAGGCUGAAGCAGCAACGCCGUGUGGGGGACGAAGGGCUUUUGCUUGUAAACCCCUGUAGCGAGAGAAAAAAUCUCCAUUCUAUGGAGGAUGAUGGUAUCUCGAAAGUAAGCCUCGGCUAACUACGUGCCAGCAGCCGCGGUAAUACGUAGGAGGCAAACGUUGUCCGGAUUUACUGGGUGUAAAGGGUGCUCAGGCGGUCUUGUAAGUCAGUGGUGAAAUCCCGGAGCUCAACUCCGGAACUGCCUUUGAUGCUGCAAGGCUUGAGUAUGGAAGAGGUGGAUGGAAUUUCUGGUGUAGCAGUGAAAUGCGUAGAUAUCAGAAAGAACACCAGUGGCGAAGGCGGUCUACCGGUCCAUUACUGACGCUAAAGCACGAAAGCAUGGGGAGCAAACAGGAUUAGAUACCCUGGUAGUCCAUGCCUUAAACGAUGAAUACUAGACGUUGGGAUCAAACUCAGUGUCGCAGCUAACGCAUUAAGUAUUCCACCUGGGGAGUACGAUCGCAAGGUUGAAACUCAA
rnacentral:rRNA from 1 species